ensembl:misc_RNA Metazoa_SRP Metazoan signal recognition particle RNA
GCCAGGCGUGGUGGCGGGUGCCUGUAAUCCCAGCUCCUCAGGAGGCUGAGGCAGGAGAAUCGCUUGAACCCAGGAGGCAGAGGUGGCAGUGAGCAGUACCACUGCACUCCAGCCUGGGUAACAGAGCGAGACUCCGUCUCAA